CCUACGGGAGGCAGCAGUGGGGAAUAUUGCACAAUGGGCGCAAGCCUGAUGCAGCCAUGCCGCGUGUAUGAAGAAGGCCUUCGGGUUGUAAAGUACUUUCAGCGGGGAGGAAGGGAGUAAAGUUAAUACCUUUGCUCAUUGACGUUACCCGCAGAAGAAGCACCGGCUAACUCCGUGCCAGCAGCCGCGGUAAUACGGGGGU
rnacentral:rRNA from 1 species